rnacentral:lncRNA from 1 species
UUACAGAGGAAUUUCAACUAUGGUAAUUUGCAACCGACCAUUCCUAACGCAAGUGUUAAAAUAUUUAGUGAUUGGUACCUAAAGUUUCAAGUUCGAAGCCUAGUUUCUUUAUAUUUCCAGCUAAGUUUAUUUCUAAAAAAAAAUAAACGAAGCGAGAAAAAUAUUAUCUCUCUCUCUCUCUCUCUCUCUCUCUCUCUCUCACAAAAAAAAAAAAAAAAAAAAAAAAAAAAAAAAAAAAAAAAAAAAAAAAAAAAAAAAAAAAAAAAAAAAAAAAAAAAAAAAAAAAAAAAAAAAAAAAA